AUGAAGGUUUCUCGGUCAGAAGAAGGCAAGGUCACCGACUGGUGCGCCCACAACCCCAAGAACACCAACGCCGGCGGCUACCACAAGACCGUCAACAAUGGUGGCUCCGCGCGUGCCCUCAACAACGUCACCAAGGGUGACUACACCUGUGGCCUCAAGAUCGUCAGCAAGAGUGGCUUCCUCCACCGCAUCAAGAACAACGUCAACAACGGCAAAUCAGUCCGCGACCUCAAGAACUUUAACAACUGCAAAUCCGUAUGCAACCUCAAGAACGUCAACAACGACAAAUCUGUCCGCAACCUCAAGAACGUCAACAACGGCAAAUUCGUCCAUGGCCUCAAGAACGUCAGCGGCAUCAGUGACGGUGGCUCCUUCUGCAACCUCAAGAAUGUCAACAAGAGCCGCUCAGUCUGCUGCGACCUCAAGAGCGUCAACAGGAGCAACGGUGGCUUGAAACCGGUCGACGACACUGCAGCCAGGUGCGCCGACCUCAAGAACGGCUAG
rnacentral:rRNA from 1 species